GGUUCCAUGGUGUAAUGGUCAGCAAUCUGGACUUUGAAAAUCCAGUGAUCCGAGUUCAAAUCUCGGUGGAACCU